GUGGGGAAUAUUGGGCAAUGGGCGAAAGCCUGACCCAGCAACGCCGCGUGAAGGAAGAAGGUUUUCGGAUCGUAAACUUCUAUCCUUGGUGAAGAUAAUGACGGUAGCCAAGAAGGAAGCCCCGGCUAACUACGUGCCAGCAGCCGCGGUAAUACGUAGGGGGCAAGCGUUGUCCGGAAUGAUUGGGCGUAAAGGGCGCGUAGGCGGCCCGGUAAGUCUGAAGUGAAAGUCCUGCUUUUAAGGUGGGAAUUGCUUUGGAUACUGUCGGGCUUGAGUGCAGGAGAGGUAAGCGGAAUUCCCGGUGUAGCGGUGAAAUGCGUAGAGAUCGGGAGGAACACCAGUGGCGAAGGCGGCUAACUGGACUGUAACUGACGCUGAGGCGCGAAAGUGUGGGGAGCAAACAGGAUUAGAAACCCCGGUAGUCC
rnacentral:rRNA from 1 species